AAGUCGUAACAAGGUCUCCGUUGGUGAACCAGCGGAGGGAUCAUUACAGAGUUACUAAACUCCCAACCCUUUGUGUACUUACCACUAUUGCUUCGGCGGGCUGCUGCUACCCUGUAGCUACCCUGUAAUUCAGGGUGGGCUUGCCUGGUAGUUCGCCUUAAGGCCCGUCAGAGGACCACUAAACUCUUGUUACCCUGUACGUAUUUCUGAAUGCUUCAACUUAAUAAGUUAAAACUUUCAACAACGGAUCUCUUGGUUCUG
rnacentral:misc_RNA from 1 species